rnacentral:rRNA from 1 species
UAGCAUAUCAAUAAGCGGAGGAAAAGAAACCAACAGGGAUUGCCCCAGUAACGGCGAGUGAAGCGGCAACAGCUCAAAUUUGAAAUCUGGCCCCCCGGGCCCGAGUUGUAAUUUGCAGAGGAUGCUUUUGGCAAGGCGCCGCCCGAGUUCCCUGGAACGGGACGCCGCAGAGGGUGAGAGCCCCGUCUGGCUGGACGCCGAGCCUUCGUAAAGCUCCUUCGACGAGUCGAGUAGUUUGGGAAUGCUGCUCAAAAUGGGAGGUAUAUGUCUUCUAAAGCUAAAUACCGGCCAGAGACCGAUAGCGCACAAGUAGAGUGAUCGAAAGAUGAAAAGCACUUUGAAAAGAGGGUUAAACAGUACGUGAAAUUGUUGAAAGGGAAGCGCUCGUGACCAGACUUGGGCUUGGCGGAUCAUCCGGCGUUCUCGCCGGUGCACUUCACCUCGCCCAGGCCAGCAUCAGUUCGCGCCGGGGGACAAAAGCUUCGGGAAUGUGGCUCCUCCGGGAGUGUUAUAGCCCGUCGCACAAUACCCUGGGGCGGACUGAGGUUCGCGCAUCUGCAAGGAUGCUGGCGUAAUGGUCACCAGCGACCCGUCUUGAAACACGGACCAAGGAGUCGUCUUCGUAUGCGAGUGUUCGGGUGUCAAACCCCUACGCGUAAUGAAAGUGAACGCAGGUGAGAGCUUCGGCGCAUCAUCGACCGAUCCUGAUGUUCUCGGAUGGAUUUGAGUAAGAGCAUACGGGGCCGGACCCGAAAGAAGGUGAACUAUGCCUGUAUAGGGUGAAGCCAGAGGAAACUCUGGUGGAGGCUCGCAGCGGUUCUGACGUGCAAAUCGAUCGUCAAAUAUGGGCAUGGGGGCGAAAGACUAAUCGAACCUUCUAGUAGCUGGUUUCCGCCGA